UACGUAGGUGGCAAGCGUUGUCCGGAUUUAUUGGGUUUAAAGGGUGCGUAGGCGGUUCUGUAAGUCAGUGGUGAAAUACUCUAGCUUAACUAGAGGGGUGCCAAUGAUACUGCAGAACUUGAGUACAGAUGAGGUAGGCGGAAUUGACGGUGUAGCGGUGAAAUGCAUAGAUAUCGUCAAGAACACCGAUAGCGAAGGCAGCUUACUGGGCUGUAACUGACGCUGAGGCACGAAAAGUGUGGGGAGUCAAACAGG
rnacentral:rRNA from 1 species